CCUUUUAGACUGGAACAACUUACCGAAAGGUGAGCUAAUGCCGGAUGAGUUAUAUAAGUGCAUGUUUAUAUAGGAAAAGUUGGGGAGACCUGACGCUGAAAGAUGGACUCGCGUCCCAUUAGCUAGUUGGUAGGGUAAUGGCCUACCAAGGCGACGAUGGGUAGCCGGCCUGAGAGGGUGGCCGGCCACACUGGGACUGAGACACGGCCCAGACUCCUACGGGAGGCAGCAGUGGGGAAUUUUGCGCAAUGCUCGUAAGAGUGACGCAGCGACGCCGCGUGAAUGACGAAGGCCUUCGGGUCGUAAAGUUCUUUCGACAGGGAAGAAAAUGCCUAUAAGUAACUGUGUAUGUAUUGACGGUACCUGUAUAAGCAGCCCCGGCUAACUCCGUGCCAGCAGCCGCGGUAAUACGGAGGGGGCGAGCGUUGUUCGGAGUGACUGGGCGUAAAGAGCACGUAGGCGGUGUUGUAAGUCAUUAGUCAAAGACUAGAGCUCAACUUUAGUAAGGCUAGUGAUACUAUAAUACUAGAGUAUCAGAGAGGAUUGCAGAAUUCCUGGUGUAGCGGUGAAAUGCGUAGAUAUCAGGAGGAAUACCGUUAGCGAAGGCGGCAAUCUGGCUGGAAACUGACGCUGAGGUGCGAAAGCGUGGUAGCAACAGGAUUAGAUACCCUGUAGUCCACGCUGU
rnacentral:rRNA from 1 species